rnacentral:rRNA from 1 species
AACGAACGCUGGCGGCAGGCCUAACACAUGCAAGUCGAACGCCCCGCAAGGGGAGUGGCAGACGGGUGAGUAACGCGUGGGAACGUGCCCUUCGCUUCGGAAUAGUCCCGGGAAACUGGGUUUAAUACCGGAUACGCCGUAUUGGGAAAGAUUUAUCGGCGAAGGAUCGGCCCGCGUUAGAUUAGGUAGUUGGCGGUGUAAUGGACCACCAAGCCUACGAUCUAUAGCUGGUCUGAGAGGAUGAUCAGCCACACUGGGACUGAGACACGGCCCAGACUCCUACGGGAGGCAGCAGUGGGGAAUCUUGGACAAUGGGCGCAAGCCUGAUCCAGCCAUGCCGCGUGAGUGAAGAAGGCCUUAGGGUUGUAAAACUCUUUCGCCGGAGAAGAUAAUGACGGUAUCCGGAGAAGAAGCCCCGGCUAACUUCGUGCCAGCAGCCGCCGUAAUAC